rnacentral:rRNA from 1 species
GGAUUAGAUACCCUGGUAGUCCACGCUAUAAACGAUGGAUACUUGUUGUUGGAGGUAUUGACCCCUUCAGUGACGAAGCUAACGCGUUAAGUAUCCCGCCUGGGGAGUACGGUCGCAAGAUUAAAACUCAAAGAAAUUGACGGGGGCCCGCACAAGCGGUGGAGCAUGUGGUUUAAUUCGAUGCAACGCGAAGAACCUUACCUAGGCUUGACAUGUACUGGAAGACUGGCAGAAAUGUCGUCGCCCGCAAGGGUCGGUACACAGGUGCUGCAUGGCUGUCGUCAGCUCGUGCCG